rnacentral:rRNA from 1 species
GGGUAGCUAAAUGCGGAAGAGAUAAGUGCUGAAAGCAUCUAAGCACGAAACUUGCCAAGAGAUGAGUCAUCCCUGACUUUAAGUCAGUAAGGGUUGUUGUAGACUACGACGUAGAUAGGUCAGGUGUGUAAGUGUAGUGAUACAUUGAGCUAACAGAUACUAAUUGCCCGAGAGGCUUAACUAUACAACGCUCAAG